CAGCGACUUGACAAAAGAAAAUAUAACUCCAUUUAUUCUGGAGGUACUGGUCCUCUGAGUCACAAAAGCACUGCUUGAAACCUUGCUUGCUUUAAGUGCCAUGGCAAACAUCAAUACAAGAAUAAAAUGAUACCAGCCAGCAUUGCCCUUAUAACAGCUCAAAGCUUAAGUAAGAACAAGCACAUUAUUUAGGGGGUCAAA
rnacentral:misc_RNA from 1 species